GUGAGGUUGCCAUCACACCAUCUUUAAAGUGUGCUGUAAAGAAUAUAUUCCUUACAAAUCUGCCUGGAAUUAGACUUGGAGGCAAGGAGAUGGAUUAGAUGGUGUUUUGAAUCUCUCUGAGGGCUGUACUCAAGGAUCUUCUGCUCCUGAUAAGUGUUCAAUCACAAAGUCUUCUGAACAAAGUCCUCAGGGCUUGGUGAUUCACACAAAUGUGAGGAGCUCCCUGAAGGACAGCAGGGCAGGAAGCCUUGACCAAGCAGGCUGGAUGGGGGCAAUCACAGGAGACACCAGGCUGGCAGAGCUUGGGCCCUGAUGGAAGGAUGUUCACCUCCAAGGAAUGCAUUAAGGGAAAUCAACCAUGAGCACAUAAGGAUGAAGCAGGAGAGUAACCAAUGUUGGUAUUGCAUAUUCAAAGCAAAAAAAUGCAAGAAUGUCCUUUUAAUUGA